CGNAANAAGGUCUCCGUAGGUGAACCUGCNNNNNGAUCAUUACACAAAUAUGAAGGCGGGCUGGAACCUCUCGGGGUUACAGCCUUGCUGAAUUAUUCACCCUUGUCUUUUGCGUACUUCUUGUUUCCUUGGUGGGUUNGCCCACCACUAGGACANACAUAAACCUUUUGUAAUUGCAAUCAGCGUCAGNAACAAAUUAAUAAUUACAACUUUCAACAACGGAUCUCUUGGUUNNGGCAUCGAUGAAGAACGCAGCGAAAUGCGAUAAGUAGUGUGAAUUGCAGAAUUCGGUGAAUCAUCGAAUCUUUGAACGCACAUUGCGCCCUUUGGUAUUCCAAAGGGCAUGCCUGUUCGAGCGUCAUUUGUACCCUCAAGCUUUGCUUGNUGUUNGGCGUCUUGUCUCUAGCUUUGCUGGAGACUCGCCUUAAAGUAAUUGGCAGCCGGCCUACUGGUUUCGGAGCGCAGCACAAGUCGCACUCUCUAUCAGCAAAGGUCUAGCAUCCAUUAAGCCUUUUUUUCAACUUUUGACCUCGGAUCAGGUAGGGAUACCCGCUGAACUUAAGCAUAUCA
rnacentral:rRNA from 1 species